GACGAACGCUGGCGGCGUGCUUAACACAUGCAAGUCGAACGGAAAGGCCCUGCUUUUGUGGGGUGCUCGAGUGGCGAACGGGUGAGUAACACGUGAGUAACCUGCCCUUGACUUUGGGAUAACUUCAGGAAACUGGGGCUAAUACCGGAUAGGAGCUCCUGCUGCAUGGUGGGGGUUGGAAAGUUUCGGCGGUUGGGGAUGGACUCGCGGCUUAUCAGCUUGUUGGUGGGGUAGUGGCUUACCAAGGCUUUGACGGGUAGCCGGCCUGAGAGGGUGACCGGCCACAUUGGGACUGAGAUACGGCCCAGACUCCUACGGGGGGCAGCAGUGGGGAAUAUUGCACAAUGGGCGGAAGCCUGAUGCAGCAACGCCGCGUGCGGGAUGACGGCCUUCGGGUUGUGAACCGCUUUCGCCUGUGACGAAGCGUGAGUGACGGUAAUGGGUAAAGAAGCACCGGCUAACUACGUG
rnacentral:rRNA from 1 species